UUGGGAUUGUAAUAUUUAUUUAAUUAGAUAUAUUAAUUAUUAAUUUAAGAAUUCAUUAUGCCAAUUGAUAUGCUAUAUGAUAAUAUGUUUGCCAACAAAGUAAAACGCCAAAAAUGUUUUUUUUCCCCCAUUUUUCUUUUAUGUCUUAUUUUUAUCUCUUCCAGUUCACCAUUUCCUGUUUCCCCCUUUCUCUUGGCCUUGAUAAUUUCGAAUACGAUGUUUGGUCGAAAAACGAUUUGUACGUUGUUUGGAGCUCGUGCAAAUCCAAGCGCUGCGGUUGACAGUUUGAAUUAAGAAACCGCAGCAAAAUAGAUCUGCGCCUGUGUAAGUCACUCGACAACGGAUGGCCUCCUCUAUUUGUUGCAUGCAGUCUAUGAGGCUACUGAUUGCGGUGAUGCAGAGACUCGAAUAUUCUUUGUUGAUUUCUCAAAGGGAUGUUAUCUGUUUG